UGGUCCUAUUGGUUUACGUGA
rnacentral:siRNA from 1 species